rnacentral:lncRNA from 1 species
UUUUUGGGUAAUAAACAAGUAUGAAAAUAAAGUUUUUGUGUACGGUGUACAACAACUUAACUAUGCACCGUACAUAAGGAUUUAUGUGGUCAGCUAAACACCGUACACAACGCUUCUUAAGGGAUAAAAUAUCGAAAAAUAACAUAUAUAUGAAAGAUUUCAAUGCCAAUUAUUGAAACAGAUAUACUUAUUACACACACACAUUGACCUUCUAUC